rnacentral:lncRNA from 1 species
UUUUUAUCGAUAUAUAUAAAUUUCCAAACUCUGAUGUUCAUCCUGUCGUUUGGUUGCAGCCUUGCUAAUAAGCAAGAUGGGUCCCUGUCCAUGGUGUAUCGCAAAAAUCAGAUCUCUGAGACUUUGAAAGGAAGGGGUUUUGAUCUUGAAAUUAUCUGCUGCUUCCUGACUUCGAUCCAGGUAUGGGCUCUUACGUCAACUGUUGGUGCAUCCAGUUAUGUGGGAUACAAAUACUGA